CAAAAAAUACUUUAGCUCAUAAAUGUUUUAAACACAACUUUCUUUAGUUGAGAAAAUUACUCAAAAAUCUAGCCCAAAGGCUCACUUGGAAACAUAGUUCCUUCUUACUCAAAUGUAAAAACAUUUAGAAACUUCUUUGGGAAUACAUAGUUCCCUAAUAGCUUUUGAGAGAUGAACUCAACUUAAAAAUCUUGCCUUAACUUGAAACUUGAGACU
rnacentral:lncRNA from 1 species